GAUGAACGCUGGCGGCGUGCCUAAUACAUGCAAGUCGAGCGAACAGACGAGGAGCUUGCUCCUCUGACGUUAGCGGCGGACGGGUGAGUAACACGUGGAUAACCUACCUAUAAGACUGGGAUAACUUCGGGAAACCGGAGCUAAUACCGGAUAACAUGUUGAACCGCAUGGUUCAACAGUGAAAGACGGUCUUGCUGUCACUUAUAGAUGGAUCCGCGCCGCAUUAGCUAGUUGGUAAGGUAACGGCUUACCAAGGCAACGAUGCGUAGCCGACCUGAGAGGGUGAUCGGCCACACUGGAACUGAGACACGGUCCAGACUCCUACGGGAGGCAGCAGUAGGGAAUCUUCCGCAGUGGGCGAAAGCCUGACGGAGCAACGCCGCGUGAGUGAAGAAGGUCUUCGGAUCGUAAAACGCUGUUAUUAGGGAAGAACAAAUGUGUAAGUAACGAUGCACGUCUUGACGGUACCUAAUCAGAAAGCCACGGCUAACUACGU
rnacentral:rRNA from 1 species